rnacentral:rRNA from 1 species
UACGUAGGGACCGAGCGUUGUCCGGAAUCAUUGGGCGUAAAGAGCGUGUAGGCGGCUUGUUAAGUCUUGCGUGAAAUCUCGGGGCUCAACCCCGAGCGGUCGUGAGAAACUGGCAGGCUAGAGUGCGGGAGAGGAGAGUGGAAUCCCUGGUGUAGCGGUGAAAUGCGCAGAUAUCAGGAAGAACACCCGUGGCGAAGGCGGCUCUCUGGAACGCAACUGACGCUGAGACGCGAAAGCGUGGGGAGCAAACAGG